UGCCCCAUGGCUGAGUUGGUUACAGCGUCCGACUGUUAGACCAGUUUAAACAAUCGGAAGGUCGUGAGUUCGAGCCUCACUGGGGCAG